CCGACGGUGAGGGAUGAAAGCUGGGGGCACGAACCGGAUUGGAUACCCGGGUAGUCCCAGCCGUAAACGAUGCUCGCUAGGUGUCAGGCAUGGCGCGACCGUGUCUGGUGCCGCAGGGAAGCCGUGAAGCGAGCCACCUGGGAAGUACGGCCGCAAGGCUGAAACUUAAAGGAAUUGGCGGGGGAGCACAACAACGGGUGGAGCCUGCGGUUUAAUUGGACUCAACGCCGGACAACUCACCGGGGGCGACAGCAAUAUGUAGGCCAAGCUGAAGACUUUGCCUGAAUCGCUGAGAGGAGGUGCAUGGCCGUCGCCAGUUCGUACUG
rnacentral:rRNA from 1 species